rnacentral:rRNA from 1 species
UACGUAGGGGGCAAGCGUUGUCCGGAUUCAUUGGGCGUAAAGAGCGUGUAGGCGGCCAGGUAGGUCGGUUGUGAAAACUGGAGGCUCAACCUUCAGACGUCGACCGAAACCAUCUGGCUAGAGUCCGGGAGAGGAGAGUGGAAUUCCUGGUGUAGCGGUGAAAUGCGCAAAUAUCAGGAAGAACACCCGUGGCGAAAAGCGGCUCUCUGGAACGGUACUGACGCUGAGACGCGAAAGCGUG